UACGUAGGUGGCAAGCGUUGUCCGGAAUUAUUGGGCGUAAAGGGCUCGUAGGCGGUUUGUCACGUCGGGAGUGAAAUCCACUGGCUUAACUGGUGGCUUGCUUUCGAUACGGGCAGACUGGAGGUAUGCAGGGGAGAACGGAAUUCCUGGUGUAGCGGUGAAAUGCGCAGAUAUCAGGAGGAACACCGGUGGCGAAGGCGGUUCUCUGGGCAUGUCCUGACGCUGAGGAGCGAAAGUGUGGGAGCGAACAGG
rnacentral:rRNA from 1 species